UACGUAGGGGGCUAGCGUUGUCCGGAAUCAUUGGGCGUAAAGAGCGUGUAGGCGGCUCGGUAAGUCCGCUCUGAAAGCCCGGGGCUCAACCCCGGGAGGCGGGCGGAUACUGUCGGGCUAGAGUCCGGAAGAGGCGAGUGGAAUUCCUGGUGUAGCGGUGAAAUGCGCAGAUAUCCGGAGGAACACCGGUGGCGAAGGCGGCAUCCUGGACCGGCAUUGACGCUGAGGCGCGAAAGCUAGGGGAGCAAACGGG
rnacentral:rRNA from 1 species